rnacentral:rRNA from 1 species
UCCAGAGGGGGCAAGCGUUAUUCGGAAUUAUUGGGCGUAAAGGGCGCGUAGGCGGCUUUUCAAGUGACGGGUGAAAUCCCUCGGCUUAACCGAGGAACUGCCUGUCAGACUGGAAGGCUUGAGACCGGGAGAGGUGAGUGGAAUUCCCAGUGUAGCGGUGAAAUGCGUAGAUAUUGGGAGGAACACCAGUGGCGAAGGCGGCUCACUGGACCGGAACUGACGCUGAGGCGCGAAAGCCAGGGGAGCGAACGGG